rnacentral:rRNA from 1 species
UGGGGAAUUUUGCAAUGGGCGCAAGCCUGAUCCAGCCAUGCCGCGUGUCUGAAGAAGGCCUUCGGGUUGUAAAGGACUUUUGUCAGGGAAGAAAAGGACAGGGUUAAUACCUCUGUUUGAUGACGGUACCUGAAGAAUAAGCACCGGCUAACUACGUGCCAGCAGCCGCGGUAAUACGUAGGGUGCGAGCGUUAAUCGGAAUUACUGGGCGUAAAGCGAGCGCAGACGGUUACUUAAGCAGGAUGUGAAAUCCCCGGGCUCAACCUGGGAACUGCGUUCUGAACUGGGUGACUAGAGUGUGUCAGAGGGAGGUAGAAUUCCACGUGUAGCAGUGAAAUGCGUAGAGAUGUGGAGGAAUACCGAUGGCGAAGGCAGCCUCCUGGGAUAACACUGACGUUCAUGCUCGAAAGCGUGGGUAGCAAACAGGAUUAGAUACCCUGGUAGUCCACGCCCUAAACGGUGUCAAUUAGCUGUUGGGCAACUUGAUUGCUUAGCAGCGUAGCUAACGCGUGAAAUUGACCGCCUGGGGAGUACGGUCGCAAGAUUA